rnacentral:rRNA from 1 species
AGUUCGGACUGUGGUCUGCAACCCGACCACACGAAGCUGGAAUCGCUAGUAAUCGCGGAUCAGAAUGCCGCGGUGAAUACGUUCCCGGGUCUUGUACACACCGCCCGUCACACCAUGGGAGUCGGAAAUGCCCGAAGUCGGUGACCGAACCGAAAGGAAGGAGCCGCCGAAGGCAGGUCUGGUGACUGGGGUGAAGUCGUAACAAGGUACC